rnacentral:tRNA from 1 species
GGGCGAGUGGCGAAACAGGCAAACGCAGUGGACUUAAAAUCCACCGCCCCCUGGGGCUUGUGGGUUCGAAUCCCACCUCGCUCA